UAAACACUACAUCUGUCUUCAGGAUUUACUGGGUAACCAUUGUUACAGAGUGUUCCCAGGUGUCUUUCUGAUGUGCCAGGCAAGUAAAUGGUAGCUACUGAAGUACAUUGCUGUGUUAUGUUUUUGAUUUGGUUUUUCCUUGUGAAGCCAUAGGGACAGGAAUGUCUGGUGUCUAAAGUAAACAUAAGUCUCUGACCAAGUGAGGUGAGGCUUUUACUUCCUUUUUUUUUUUUUUUUCUCCUGACAGUAAUUGAUUAAAAACCAAAUCCUUUUUGGCUACUGAAAAGCCACACUGUUAAGACUUUCAGGCAAACAGCAAAACCAUUUUUGUUCCAAGGCAAAUGGAAAGAGAAAUGAUUUUGAAGCAGAUGUUGAGAGGAAUUUGUGGAGAGUUAAUAUACUUUCUGUGCUGUUACUGGGCAUUGUUUUUGCACAGAGUAAGCUGUCUUGCACUGUUAAGGUGAGAGUACUGUUAAUGUACAUAGUACUGGGGUUUGGCUGUGUAAUGCAAUUUUAUUUCCUGGCACAGGGUUUAUAUAAUCUAUGUGUAGUUAAGACCAUUGAGAAUUUAUCUCUCUGAGGCAAGGAGGACUAGUGUUUUACUAAGAAUUAAUUUUGUUGGGCACAGCUGUCAUUAGUGGCUUCUGCCCACUGUCUGACAAAUGCUGUAGCAUUUUCUUCAAAAGCUAAUAAUGUUUCCUUCCACAACCAAAAUAGCAGAUCAAGGAAGAUACCAAGUAUCUCCUUAAUUUUAUCAUGUACUAGGGCUUGGCAGCUGUUGUCUCUUGGUUGUUGGGUUUUUUUCCUCUUAAUUAGAGUGAGAUUUCCUCAUGAAUAAUGAAAUUAAUGUCUUUUGCAGCCAAAAUAAACACCAUAUGGUCAGGGAGAAAGGGGCCAGGAAGAGAGGAAGGCGCAGCAGCUGAAGCUAAUAGGAGACAAAAUGGACUGAAUGAAGGGCCAGGGGCUCAUACUGUUCCAACAAGGAAAUCCUGGGGGCUUUCAGAGCAGUAGCAGCAGAACUGGUGAUACAUUCUGAAUAACAUGGACUAGAAGCUGCUCUUUCUUCGUGGGUUCUGUAUCUGGAUUUUGUCAGUAUUCACUUUCUGCACCCAUUUCAUGAUAACACUAUUGAUUUAUUCAUUAAAUCAUAGGUGUCAAAAGAACUGAAUUGUGCAUCAGAGCUUUCUCAUUACCUGAUGAAAGAGCCAUGUAAAAAAAAGAAUUCACCAGCCCCUGUGACUGAAUUUGAGCGAUAAUGUCAAUGGAAUUAACACAUUGCCAUUGUUGAAUGGUCUCCUGUGGCUAUAUAAAC